AUAAAAUAGUGGCCGAAUGAAGGUGUUAGUCUCUUAAAUUAAUUAUGANAUAUAUAUAUAUAUAUAUAUAUAUAUAU
rnacentral:tRNA from 1 species